AGAAAUACAUCGAUGAGACAUGACCCCACCUCCCGCCAUUUUCAUAGCCCUGUUUUGUGUAAUAUAGCAUCACUGGGAACAGUACGUACUGUACAGAGUUUUGGCCAAUACCUUCGAGUCCGAAACGUUAAACAUUAAUUGCUAAGUUGUUUUCUGUGGCUAAAUGUACCAUAUUACCCCGUUUCACGAUAAAACUUACAAGUACACUAAAUGAUUUCAGAGUUUGGAGUUGAAUGUACAGGUGAACGCCAUUCCACCGCGGAGCGAAUAAGUUGGGCUUCUAUCACCCCUUAAAGUACGUUCCACAGGCUAUUGGGAUGAUUUGUAACAAAUAUCGCUACUGAUCAAAGGUCUUUCGACUUGGAUGGGUAAUGAAAAGACAAUUGGAAACAAACCCAGAAGCUUUUUCAUUUGACAAAAUAUUCGUGUUUGGCACUAACGUAUGAAAAUCUAGCAACACACUCGUGCACGUUGUUUGCCACCCGAAAACCGCCACUCUCAUCAAUAUUUUUCAUUUCUUAUUUUAAAAAAAGAAAACAUUUGUCGUCAACGUGGAGAAUCGUGUUUCGCGGAACUACAAUACCCCAGCUCUAAAAAAGCAAUCAAAGUCAAAUUUCCACAGUUGACUCCAAUGGCACCAGGACAUUAAGUUCGCUUUCAAGUGUCUCUCCGUAACGACUUACAGUGGUGUAG